rnacentral:rRNA from 1 species
UACAGGGGGUGCAAACGUUGCUCGGAAUUAUUGGGCGUAAAGCGCACGUAGGCGGUUUGUUAUGUCGGAUGUGAAAGCCCUUGGCUCAACUGAGGAAGUGCAUCCGAAACUGGCAAGCUAGAGUAUGUAAGAGGGUCGCGGAAUUCCUGGUGUAGCGGUGAAAUGCGCAGAUAUCAGGAGGAACACCGGUGGCGAAGGCGGAUCUCUGGGCCUUACCUGACGCUGAGGCGCGAAAGCUAGGGGAGCGAACAGG